CCUACGGGUGUCUGCAGUGAAUUGUCGGUAUCUGCAGACGAAGCACUGGCUAAGUCCGUGCCAGCAGCCGCGGUAAUACGGAGGGUGCGAGAGUUAAUCGGAAUUAGUGUGCGUAAAGCGCUCGUAGGCGGUAUGUCAAGUCAAGGGUGAAAUCCCCGCGCUCAACGUGGGAACUGCCUUUGAAACUGGCAAACUGGAGUGUGUGAGAGGAUAGUGGAAUUCCAGGUGUAGGAGUGAAAUCCGUAGAUAUCUGGAGGAACAUCAGUGGCGAAGGCGACUAUCUGGCACAUAACUGACGCUGAGGAGCGAAAGCGUGGGUAUCAAACAGGAUUAGAUACCCGAGUAGUC
rnacentral:rRNA from 1 species